rnacentral:rRNA from 1 species
UACGUAGGGUGCGAGCGUUGUCCGGAAUUAUUGGGCGUAAAGGGCUCGUAGGCGGUUUGUCGCGUCGGGAGUGAAAACCUCGGGCUUAACUCGGGGCUUGCUUUCGAUACGGGCAGACUGGAGGUAUGCAGGGGAGAACGGAAUUCCUGGUGUAGCGGUGAAAUGCGCAGAUAUCAGGAGGAACACCGGUGGCGAAGGCGGUCUCUGGGCAGUGACCUGACGCUGGAGGAGCGAAAGCCGUGGGGAGCGAACAGG